rnacentral:rRNA from 1 species
AUUGAACGCUGGCGGCAGGCCUAACACAUGCAAGUCGAACGAGUGGCGGACGGGUGAGUAAUGUCUGGGAAAAUGCCCGAUGGAGGGGGAUAACUGCUGGAAACCGUAGCUAAUACCGCAUACAAUCGGAUGUGCCCAGAUGGGAUUAGCUAGUAGGUAGGGUAACGGCUUACCAAGGCGACGAUCCCUAGCUGGUCUGAGAGGAUGACCAGCCACACUGGAACUGAGACACGGCCCGGACUCCUACGGGAGGCAGCAGUGGGUAAUAUUGCACAAUGGGCGAAAGCCUGAUGGAGCCAUGCCGCGUGUAUGAAGAAGGCCUUCGGGUUGUAAAGUACUUUCAGCGAGGAGGCGUUACUCGCAGAAGAAGCACCGGCUAACUCCGUGCCAGCAGCCGCGGUAAUUC